GUGGUCAGGAUUCAUUGCCAUGUAAAGCGUAUAAAUGAUAGAAGGUCCUCCGGCCAUUUGUUGGUUAGUGAGCGAAUCUCCCUUUUGCGUUAUGUGUUUCGUAUGUGGCUUUCAUCGUAUUAUACGUUUAACAAACUUACAGUAUUAAAUCACAGAACAUUAAAUGCUUCUCUGAAUUGGUUAUUUAGGCAGAAAUUGCUGAUAUUUGAUAGCGAAUAACAGAAAAUGCAUCGAAGGCUAGAUGACGAGAAAGGAUUACUCUGUACUCUGCUCAUUAAAUUUCUUAAUCAGUGCUAAUCAAUUGGGUUAACUUCUUUUCCUUAGGGUCAUCAAUAUUUCGUGUCGUCACCUGAAUGGGGAACCCACAUUCAUCAACUUGGUUUAUAGGUUAACUCUUGGCUUAGUUUGUUUGAUCUUUAAUCACAGGGACAUAGACCUUAUAACUCUUGUGUUAGUUUUGUUUACCUUAAAUCCCAGGGACGUAGCACGAAAAACAAAACAAUGUCGAUAUUUUAGCUUCAAGAGAAGGCGAAUCCUAGUUGGAUAUGGCUAGUUAUAUUGCUGAGAAAUGGUAUUGUACACAGUGACUGGAAAGAGGAAAGAUUUAAAGUGGCCUCAAGUGGUGUCAUCUGUAUUAUCUCUAGUCAGAGUGAAAAGAAUCACCAUAGAUCUGUUCCCCAGUGGAAGAAUAUUGGCCUUCAGAGCCUACUCGAAUCAAAGGCUUCCCGGCAAAUCAAUAAUGACCCUACUCAUUCAGGCGGUAUCCACUCCAAUUCCUGUGUAAGGUCAUCUCGCUUUCUGCUUAAUCUGAGCGCAUGACCUCUGCUUUGUGCUACUUCUGUCGUUUCAUUGUGCAGGGUUCGUGCGGCGGCAGGUGAUUUAAUAGAUCACAAGGUCUCUAGAUCUACCCUGUUGGUGUUUGUAACGUCCACUAUAGGCGGCCGGUCUCCGAAACUGGUAUGAACCGGUUUGAUCCGGAUUCUGGAGCUUUUCUCAGACUGUUCUCAAUUCGACCUACUACGCCCAGUGCAAUUUCCUUUAAAAGUUUGUAAGAUGAGUAAAGAAUUAUUUGGACCUAAUGCUAAAGAAUUUAAACCCCCAAAAAAACCUAUAGUUUUAUUAUUAAUGGCUGUUCGUAGCUAGCACUCUUUCCAUUUCGUUGGGAAUGUGUAAUUAGAUGCCUUUUUAUUUUUUAAACAGUUACUGCAGUAUUUCAAUACAAGGAAACGUAAUGUGGCUGUGGUUUGGUACAGUUUCUUUAGAUAUUAAUUGGCUACAUACAUAUAUGUGUGUGUGUGCGUGUGCGUGUGUGUGUAUGUAUACCCGAGAGGACAGGAAGAGGAAGCAACUUCUAAAAAGCACGUGGUAUUAUACCCCCUCGUUUCACCAGUGCCCCCGUCUCGGGAAUCCAGUUGUUACCAGGCACUGAAGGUCGCCCCAAAAAAAGCCCAUAUGAGAGAGAGAUAAACGCAGACAACAACCCCUCCCCCCUAUAGCACAGAGAGAGAGAGAGAGAGAGAUUUAUUCCCUGUUACUUACCAAUCAUGUCCCCUUGACUGGCGUUAUUCACGCAGCUGCGGGCAGCGCCGUCGCAAUUAUGAGGAAGGACCUCACGAAGGACGCGCGGCGGCGGUCUCGUGGAACGCCCCCCCCCCCCUCCCUCUCUCUCUCUUAAUAGGACAGUGGGAGGGUAGUAGUAGACCCUCGCCCUUGCGUACGCCGCCGCCGCCGCCACUUCAUUCCCCUCAAUUCCCCUCUCUCAGGCCUUAGCAAUUCAUACGGCUGGUGAGCCCCGGGCGGAGGCAAGGGACGUUGAACUCGUGGAUGCGUGUCCUGGGGGGACUCUUCGUGACGCUGUCAAGUUUUCUCUCUCAACUUUUUUUUUUCUUGUUUUUUUUUUUUUCAAUAGAGUUCCAGACAGACUGGCCAUUACCAUAGUUUGAUCAUUUUCUUCUUUAUUUUUCUUCUUGUUCUUGUUCUUCUUCUUCUUCUUCUUCUUAGGACCACUUCUUAUGACAUCAAAUAAGUGUCCUUAUUAUUUUGAUCAUCAUAAAACUGUCGGAUUUCCUUCGCUUCAGGCCACUUUUCAAAAAUAUUUUUGACACACACACACACACACACACACACUAUAAUCACUCCGUGCCAAUAUUUUAAGGCAUAAGUUUGGUAUUAGCCAUUCGUGCCCUCUUCUAAAUUACGUUUAUUACUUCAUUUUAGUUACAUACAGGGUGUCCAUAAAGUCCCAGUACCAUUCUGGGCGAUAAAUACUUGUAAUGGUACUGGGACUUUAUGGACACCUGUAUAUGAGUCAUUGCACAGAUGUUCAUUUCUGUAAGGCUGUUUUUCAAAGCCCCGAUGACAAAAGGCUCUGCUUUGAAAAGUUGGCCAACGAAUAAGAUAGAAAAAAGCGGAUUGCCUGUUUUUCAUUAUAUGUAUAUGUAUAUAUAUAUGUGUGUGUGUGUGCUUGUGUGUGUAUAUAUAUUUGCAAGUGUGCAUAAACGUGCCUGACGUUCAAGCAUUUAAAAAUGCAUAACUAAACCCACACUUAGGUACACAUAUACUUAUUCUCCUUGGCAUGUGUGCACGUUUAUGCAUAUAUAAAGAGAGAGAGAGAGAGAGAGAGAGAGAGAGAGAGAGAGAGAGA